rnacentral:rRNA from 1 species
AACGAACGCUGGCGGCAGGCCUAACACAUGCAAGUCGAGCGAAGCCUUCGGGCUUAGCGGCGGACGGGUGAGUAACGCGUGGGAACGUGCCCUUUGGUACGGAAUAGCCCCGGGAAACUGGGAGUAAUACCGUAUGUGGUCGAGAGACGAAAGUUUUAUCGCCAAAGGAUCGGCCCGCGUUGGAUUAGGUAGUUGGUGGGGUAAUGGCCGACCAAGCCGACGAUCCAUAGCUGAUUUGAGAGGAUGAUCAGCCACACUGGGACUGAGACACGGCCCAGACUCCUACGGGAGGCAGCAGUGGGGAAUCUUAGACAAUGGGGGAAACCCUGAUCUAGCCAUUGCGCGUGAUCGAUGAAGGCCUUAGGGUUGUAAAGAUCUUUCAGUGGGGAAGAUAAUGACUGUACCCACAGAAGAAGCCCCGGCUAACUCCGUGCCAGCCGCCGCGGUAACAC